GCUUUCGUAGCUCAGUUGGUUAGACCACCCGUUUAGUAAACGGGAGGUCCUGAGUUCCACUCUCAACGAAAGCA
rfam:Oryza glumipatula chromosome 3, whole genome shotgun sequence.